rnacentral:lncRNA from 1 species
GGGAGAGGUAGGAGGGAGCAGAGGAGAGAGGGACCCGUCGUUGGCAGGAAAUGUGGAGGUGGAGCAUAACUGUCCACACCUCAGAGAAGAGGAAAACUCCAAAACCCCAACAAAUAGAAAACAAAGCCUGGGAUAGAAAAGUGCCAGAGAAACCAACCCACAUAGCACAUGCAUUUUCUUUUCUUUAUCAUUUCUUUUCUGGAUCAUCACACCGCAAUAAUCAUUGCACGGAAUGAAAACAAAUAUUAUGCGGGGCCCGCCAUCUGGUCAAUUAGUGGAAGCCAACACCACACCCUCCUCCAUCCAAUCGCAUUGCGACUGUUCUUUGCCUCCCCACAGUCCCUGAUCAUCUUUUCAUGUCAUGUGGAGAUUGUUGUCCUUGAUAAUUCUUUUAAUUUUGCCCCCUCUGCAAAUGCUAAAUUGUGCUAUUGGGAUGGCUUUCCUUUUCAUGGGCAGGUGUUGCGUCUAAACUGAUUGGCAUUGUUGUC